UUUUUAUCUUGUACUACAUCUCAAGUGUUUGUAAUUUAAACGGUAUAAAACUCUUUAAUAUUGUAAGAGUAAGAGAAGUUUACAUGUGACAGACUUGUGGUUACAAAAGAGAUGACCAAACCAAAAUUUUGUACGACUACAAAUUAUACCUAUGUUGGCUUAUUAUAGUAUAGUAUAGAUGUAAUUCAAGUUCAGAAAAAUAUAAAAUAAAAAGAAUUUAUCAAACCUCACCACACACUUUCAGAAAAAAUUCUCAAACUCUUCAAAUGGGAAUUCAUUCUUUUCCUAUGCCAUCUUCAAGACUAUAAUGAUCUCACCUCAGAUUCAACACUGAACUCCUCUAUUUCAUGUCAACCAAGUUUACCUCUAGUCUUAUCUAUACGCAAAUUGUCCCAAGAACAAUCAAACAUCCACCGCCACUGCAUUUCCACCCUAAAAGGCCACUCUUUCUAUGUAUUUUCACUCAUUCUUGUCAGGAAACACCUCUACAGCGGCUCAUCCGAUAGCCAAUUACGCGUAUGAUCCCGAGCUCCAUCAGAUCAUCACAAUUCAAAUGAAAACAUUGCGUCUGUUGUCUGCAUGCAAGAGUACAGUUAAGUGCAAAAGAAAAGAAAUGUUAAUAUCAUGUGAUGCUAAUUUAGGCAUUUAGCAACAAGAUGGGUUUGAAUGUGGGCUUUUACUUUUGAGUACGGAAGUGGGCUUGGGUUAUGCAUCAGAAAAAUAUGUUCUGUCC
rnacentral:lncRNA from 1 species